UGCUUUUGUCUUUAGUGCAGUGGCUGUAGCGGUUCGUCAGGGGAAAGGAAACCCACAUCAUCUGAGUACCUGAUCUUGCCGUCUCCAUAGGUAGGACGGGCACCGAGCAAAGGUUUUGCCAUCACCACCUUCCCCAACACCAGCCAGAAGGAGCCGAGCACAGAUAACAAGACGACCAUCAUCCGGUUUUCUAACAGCGAUGUGAAGAUCAAACCCGAUCAGAGAGUGAAAAAUUCUACCCCGAUGGCUCCAAAGAAAUUGUGUUUCCCGACGGGACAGUGAAACAUCUCAAGGAUGGACAGGAAGAGACCUUAUUUCCUGAUGGGAC